GCGACUCCGGAGCCGGGCAGGGACCGGGCAGAAGGGCAGGAACGGGAGGCUCGGGCACCGCGCGCCCCCUGCCGGACGGGAGGACACGGGACCGAGCCGACAUCACACUCCAGUUGACCGGUGGGCCGACUGGAUCGGUCUGGGAUCCUGCCGAAAUCACUCCCCUAGUAAAUUCAAACCCACAGACUCGUCAUUUGAAGGCCGGAAGAGAGAGUGGGGUUUUUCGGGAAACAGUACAGGCCUUAGCUCAAUGUCCACCCAAAGAAAUGAAGUAGAAGUUUCCUCUGGGUCCUACCCAGUGCUGGUAGAUCGCUUCUACGUGCCCUGGCAAAUUGGCUUGCACUCCAGCAGGCGGACUGUAAGAGUGAUUACUGCUAAGCUGGGGCACAUCCACCUCAUUUAAUGGCUUACAACUAGUGAAGAAUCUGGCAGCAGGACAGGGAAGACCUCUUGAAUAUUAGCAAACCAGAAUGAAUCUCCAGAACAGGAGUCAAAGGUGAAAAAUACCCGAUUCAGACCCUGCGCCCAAGAACUGAGCUGGGGCAGCAGUCCAAGUCUGAAGCUGCUGCUGUUCCACACGUGUGUGAAAGCCAGAUGGGAUUCUGCCUCCAAACCACUCCCCCAGGGUUCCAGCCAGGUUCAUGCCUCUUCUGCCUCUUCCCGCACUGAGGAGCAUCAGACUGAACCUGCAUGUUGGGGCAGUGACAGCAAGGGCCUCAGGGUCCCGGUCCCUUGGAAGGAGGCCUUUGUAAGAGCUUUCCCAGCAAUGUAUGUAAAGCCACAAGGUCCCCUGAGGCAAACCACCACUCCAAGAGGUGACACGUCUACACCAGGGAAUGGACGGACCAGUACCGUGGUCUCCGGGAUCCUGCCAGAAGUGCGGCUGAGCAGGAGACCCACCACUGCUGUGUGUGUGUGGCUAAAUCAACUUACCUUACAAGAGCAGUGACAGUCUCUGAUUUUGUAUCCUUUUGAACUGGAGCUGAAUU